rnacentral:lncRNA from 1 species
GAAGAGUUUGGAUGGGUUUGGAAGUCUGUGUAAGUGGAUGAGAGAGUGGGUAGUUGGAAUUGGGUUAGUAGGAGAUUAUGCCUAAAAUUGAGGGAUUGUAAGAAAUUUUUUUUUUAUUUUUAUUAUUUUUCUCUCUUUUCCCAAAUUCCCUCUGACGUUAGUUUUUCAAUUUUCUAACGUUGUCUUUUCCCUUAUUUUCCCUUUCUUACAAUUUUCCCCUUCUCUGUAAAUCUUUGCUUCGUGAAC